CUCAGCUCCCACUGUGCUGCCAGCAGGGCUGGAUUUCCAGAAAAUAUCACCGUGGGGAGGCUGUGGGUGUUCUCAGAGUCAGAUCCGGCCUGGGCAAAGUGGAGGCGGCCAGCUGUUCUGAUGAGAAUGGGUUACCCCUGUGUCUACUGCCUCCUGUUCCUCCCUCCCCUCCACUGAUGCUUAUUUUCCAUCCACCAGGGCUCUGCCACCUUUGCUACCCCCAGAGAGGCACCUCCAGCUGAAACUGAUGAAGCCUUUCUGCACAAUCUCCAGAAUCAUGGGGAAUCCAGCCUCAGUCCUCAUCCUGCCCUCGGUUCCUCCAUUACUACACUGCCCCAGAGUGCUGGAGCUGCGAGGUCAAGGUCUAGUGGCGUCAGGAGGAGACUGCUCCCAGUAACUAUCCCCUGAUUGAGAGGUUUAGAAGAAAACAUGAAGGGCUGCCAAAAUACCUGUGACCCAGAAUCUCUCGAGAUGGGGCUUGUGCAGUGCCUCUGGAUGGCAUGGGUCCACUGUUCCCUGGGGCAGGAAGCAUCAGGAGCUUUUAGGCGCCAUGGUCCUGCUGCCUUUGAGUGUAUCCCACACUUUCCUAGCUGAGCAUAGGACCCCAGGUGGCAGGCAAGAGAGGGAAGUGGGGUGGUCUGGGGGGCACAGAGCCUCUCCCUGUCCAAGGGUGCAUUCCGCGGCUGGCACCACCAGCUUCACCACUUGGUGGGGACUGGCUCUUUUCACAUGAGGAGAACCACUUCAGAGACCUAAGGAAUGGGCCGAGUUGUGCAGGAUCCAGCCCCAGGUUCCAUUCAAAGGGCUGACACUCUGAUGUGGGCACAGCCAGGCCAGGGAGCAGCUGCCAGAACUGUCAGGCCAG
rnacentral:lncRNA from 1 species